AAUCAACGCUGGCGGCGUGCCUCAGACAUGCAAGUCGAACGCGAAAGUUCCCUUCGGGGGAUGAGUAGAGUGGCGCACGGGUGAGUAACACGUAGGUAAUCUACCUUCGGAUGGGGAAUAACAACCGGAAACGGUUGCUAAUACCGCAUAAUGCAGCGGCACCUAAUGGUGACAGUUGUUAAAGCGGGGGAUCGAAAGACCUCGCGUCUGAAGAGGAGCCUGCGGCGGAUUAGCAGUUGGUAGGGUAACGGCCUACCAAGGCUACGAUCCGUAGCCGGCCUGAGAGGGCGGUCGGCCACACUGACACUGACAUACGGGUCAGACUCCUACGGGAGGCAGCAGUCGGGAAUUUUGGGCAAUGGGCGAAAGCCUGACCCAGCAACGCCGCGUGAAGGAU
rnacentral:rRNA from 1 species